CAUUCUCCGUGUACACUGGACAUGCAACUGUGCUCUGUACCCAAAGCAAACAGUAGGCCUAUGCUUUCUCUACAGGUGCAUGAGAUGAGGAGUAAUGAGUCCGUAACAUCCGUUUUGAUAAAUUAGGAAAUGAUCCCAGGAAUUGUUUGAGUUGCACGUUGUAGUCGCUGGUCGGAGUAAGACACAAGCCGGGGAGGGCACGCUAUUUGAGACGGCCAAACUUUACAUUGGGCAUUAGGAGGUAAGCUGCUAUGUUCGUUUGGUUUUCACUGUUUCUGGUUAGCCCUGUUGCUAUUGUAUGCCGUGCAUGUUACGCUCUGUGUUUGUUAUUAGCCGUCGUACGGCUCACUAGUGUUUGUUUAACUCCUCGUAGCCCCUGGCUCGUUUCACUGGCGGUGCGAGACCCGUAGGCCUACAUGUUAAGUCUUUCCUGCUAUUGGGAUUAACAAGGGAUGACCAGUCGACGUGGGUCCUCUUCCAUUACAAUUUCCUUCUGGAAACGGUGGUACUGUACGGCAGUCACAGCCAAGAUCUACAACCGAUCAUCAUUCGUAGUCUGACCACUGUUUUCCUCUGUUUAUUUCUUUUGUUUGUUUUUUGGUUUAUAUACUAAGGUAGCUGAAGCCACGUGUCUUGUUUUGUUUGUUUAUGUCUGUUCUCCUUUGUUGGCUCCUUAUUGGGCCUACCCCCUUGUCCUGGUCUUGUGGGCCUAACCCAGGGAUAGCUUUAUUGUGAGGGUAUAUCUGGCAUUAUUCUGCCCUUAAAAGCUUGCGGUGUGAACACUCUCUUAAUGGUUGAGUUUCGAUACAAAGUUCGUUCCUUGUGUGAUUUCUCUUGAUAUCCACGUGUGGUUUUUGAGCGUUUUGCAGCUUGCAGUGCUACACUAGCGUGUGCAUGAGUAUACUAGUAAUCACGUAUGGCUGAAGAUUUGUCAGUUGUACUUUAGCAGUACGACUAAUUACUUGGGUUGGUCCUCUGGACCUAUGUUAUGUGUUUUGUUUUCUUGUCCCUCGUCAUGAUUUACUGUAUGUUGAUUAAUCUACAUCUUGUUACCCCUGCCAAAUACAAGCAACGAGACUAAAUAAAAUAUUGACUGUUUGUAACUGCCUCUGGUUCUAUCCAUUUAUUUGGGUAACCUGCAAUCCAAAAAUACAUGGUAGUUAUAGAAGCUAGCACACUGUCACAUUUGGCGCUGCGAGCAGGGUUAACAAGCUA